UACGUAGGGGCUAGCGUUAUCCGGAAUUACUGGGCGUAAAGGGUGCGUAGGUGGUUUCUUAAGUCAGAGGUGAAAGGCUACGGCUCAACCGUAGUAAGCCUUUGAAACUGAGAAACUUGAGUGCAGGAGAGGAGAGUAGAAUUCCUAGUGUAGCGGUGAAAUGCGUAGAUAUUAGGAGGAAUACCAGUUGCGAAGGCGGCUCUCUGGACUGUAACUGACACUGAGGCACGAAAGCGUGUGGAGCAAACAGGAUUAGAUACCCGCGUAGUCCCU
rnacentral:rRNA from 1 species